AGAGCGAACGCUGGCGGCAGGCCUAACACAUGCAAGUCGAGCGCCCCGCAAGGGGAGCGGCAGACGGGAGAGUAACACGUGGGAACGUGCCCUUUGGUUCGGAACAACACAGGGAAACUUGUGCUAAUACCGGAUAAGCCCUUACGGGGAAAGAUUUAUCGCCAAAGGAUCGGCCCGCGUCUGAUUAGCUUGUUGGUGAGGUAACGGCUCACCAAGGCGACGAUCAGUAGCUGGUCUGAGAGGAUGAUCAGCCUCACUGGGACUGAGACACGGCCCAGACUCCUACGGGAGGCAGCAGUGGGGAAUAUUGGACAAUGGGCGCAAGCCUGAUCCAGCCAUGCCGCGUGGGUGAUGAAGGCCCUAGGGUUGUAAAGCCCUUUCGGCGGGGAAGAUAAUGACGGUACCCGCAGAAGAAGCCCCGGCUAACUUCGCGCCAGCAGCCGC
rnacentral:rRNA from 1 species